rnacentral:rRNA from 1 species
UACGAAGGGGACUAGCGUUGUUCGGAAUUACUGGGCGUAAAGCGCACGUAGGCGGAUUUGUAAGUCAGGGGUGAAAUCCCGGGGCUCAACCUCGGAACUGCCUUUGAUACUGCAAAUCUCGAGUCCGAUAGAGGUGGGUGGAAUUCCUAGUGUAGAGGUGAAAUGCGUAGAUAUCUGGAGGAACACCGGUGGCGAAGGCGGCAUCCUGGACCAACACUGACACUGAGGAGCGAAAGCCAGGGGAGCAAACGGG